rnacentral:rRNA from 1 species
GGCCAGACUCCUACGGGAGGCAGCAGUGGGGAAUUUUGGACAAUGGGCGCAAGCCUGAUCCAGCUAUUCCGCGUGUGGGAUGGCGGCCCUCGGGUUGUAAACCACUUUAGUAGAGAACGAAAAGGAGCUAUCGAAUAAAUAGCUCUGCUGACGGUACUCUAAGAAUAAGCACCGGCUAACUACGUGCCAGCAGCCGCGGUAAUACGUAGGGUGCGAGCGUUAAUCGGAAUUACUGGGCGUAAAGGGUGUGCAGGCGGCUGAGUAAGACAGAUGCGAAAUCCCCGGGCUUCACCUGGGGACCGCAUAUGUGACUGCUUGGCUAGAGUGCGUCAGAGUGCGGUGGAAUUCCACGUGUCGCAGUGAAAUGCGUAGUUAUGUGGAAGAACGCCGAUGGCGCGGGCGGCCUCCUGGG